UGAAGCCGUAUGCGAUGAAAGUCGCACGUACGGUUUUUAUGGGGGAAUGUCACAGUAAUGUGAUGUUCCUACCUACUAAAAU
rnacentral:ncRNA from 1 species